rnacentral:misc_RNA from 1 species
UAAUCACCCGCAUAUUUCAUUUCAUUAAAUAUAUAAACAAGCAAAAUGUUAAAUACACUUUCAAACAGUGAGCUAACCAUCUUAAUAGGUUGGUCUCAAUUAACAAUACCCCAAAACAAAACCAAAAUUAUGUUACAACCAAAUUACAUCUAUUUUCAAUCCUUCCAGUAUCCCCUGAGAGAAAAUUCCUGCAAAUCCUUUCCAAGCACUUCCUGUCUGGUUCAGCUUUUUCCAAUCCAAACUUGACAAUCUCAGCAUACCCAACCUCUAUGGAAUUGUUGUUGAGAAGGCGAUCAACGAGGUUAUAAAGAAUGUCUCUGGUGUACUCAGGAUGGCCUUGAAUACCCAAUAUAUGAUCUCCAAUGUUGAACAUUUCCACUCCUGUUUUGUCAGAGAAUGCAAUUACUUCUGCUCCUAAUGGAACCUCCAAUACCUCAUCUUGGUGGCACUCAAUUAUUGAUAAUGAAGCUGGGAUUUCGCUCAAGUUGCUCAGGAAGCUGCAUGGUGGCAAAUCCUUUACUAUUCUAAUUUUCCUUAUCCCAAUAUCCCACCCUGUGCAUGAUCUCCCUACCUUUCCACCUAAUGCUCUACACAGAACCUGAUGGCCAAAGCAAAUCCCAAGGACUUUUAUUUCCAUGGCGUCAAGAGUUUGCAAGAGAAAACAAAGCUUAAGAAUCCAAAGGUCAUUUCCAUAGGCAUCACAAGGGCUACCACUAAUUACAAAACCAUCAUAUUUAUGAAGGUCAUUCAUGUCAGGAAACUCUCCAUCAAGAACCAUAAACAAAUCCCAUUUCUCUCCUUCUUCACCAAAAGCUGCAAAAAACACAUUGAAGUAACUUCCAUGUACUUUCUUCACAUAAUCAGAGUCUCUUGCUGCUUGCAGAAGAGCAUAUCUUUUCUCUGCUGUAGCCUUCAUGAUGUUAUAUAUGAGAGUUGAAUGUGGGGUUGAAGCUAGAAGAGGAAGUAUUUCCAUGAGAGUUGAAGCCAGAAAUGUGGGCUUUUAUAGAGGGUGGAUUAUUGGAAUUGGAUUUUUGCACUGUGUAAUGUAAA